AGGACGAACGCUGGCGGCGUGCUUAACACAUGCAAGUCGAGCGGUAAGGCCUUUCGGGGUACACGAGCGGCGAACGGGUGAGUAACACGUGGGUAACCUGCCCUGUACUUUGGGAUAAGCCCGGGAAACUGGGUCUAAUACCGGAUAUGACUGCAUCCUGCAUGGGGUGUGGUGGAAAGUUCUGGCGGUACAGGAUGGGCCCGCGGCCUAUCAGCUUGUUGGUGGGUGAUGGCCUACCAAGGCGACGACGGGUA
rnacentral:rRNA from 1 species